rnacentral:lncRNA from 13 species
CAUUGUCUCUACUGGCUGGAAGGGCACUCAAGCCAGAGGUGACAUUGUCUGUGGUGUGAUUUAUCCCCAAGUCACCAGCGGGGCUGGAUUUGAGUCAGACCACCUGUGUCUGGUGCUAUCUCUUCCCACUUGGGAGAGGUGUUUGGCCUGUCUCAGGGUCCUCGUCUGUGAAAUGGGCUCUGACUCCUGCCUUGUGGUGUGAUGUGAGGUUUGGGUCCAGUGCUGACACAAGCUGGUGCCUGAAACACCGGAAAGCUGUAAAAUGAGGUGCUCUGCUAUCCGUGGAAACUUAUCACCAAGGUAAGGAGAAAACCUAGUGACUCCAGGUUCACCUCCCCCACUGGUGACUCCAGGUUCACAUCCUGCACCAGAGACACCAGGUUCAUUUUCCCCACUGGUGACUCCAGGUCUGCUUUCUCUCUGGAGACACCAGGCUUACCUUCCUGACCAGUGACACCAGGUCCACCUUCCCCACCAGUGACUCCAGGUCCACCUUCCCCACCAGUGACUCCGGGUCCACUUUCUGCAUCAGACACACCAGGAUCACCUUCCC